GAGAGAGAGAGAGAGAGAGAGAGAGAGAGAGAGAUUAGGGAACAAUAGUCAGUUCCAUACACACACACCCAUCACCUCCAACAACUACCUCGAAGGGGAGAGUUAACAUCAAGAAGAUUAAAAAGAAUUAUAGAAUUAUAGGAGAGAGAAAAAGCACAAAGAACAGCAGAUAAAACUAAAUAUAUGAAACCAGAGAAUAUGAAAACAGAGAAUACUCAGACUUUUACCUCCUAGAGGCUGGCAGGCACAUUGGAAAUUGUAGGGCUACCAGAGGCUCAAACACUGGGCUCAAAUCAACAAGAAGAAUUUCAGUGGAGAUAAAAAAAAGUCCUGCAUUUAGCUCCCGUGAGAUUUUGGGAUUGAUAGUUUUUUCCUGUCAUGACUGCAGCCUCAGGAGAAAAAAGAACAACAUUCCAUUUCCUUCCACAUGAUGAUCAACCUAUGCUGCUCCUGCCUGUUUGCUGCCUAUGCCUGGUGGAUCUUUGGUUUUUGUAGGCUGGUGUGUGGUACCCAGCCUGCCAGGCUCCCUCUUUUUCUGGUUUUGUUGUUGUUUUGAUUGGGUGGUUGGGUGCCGACUGGUGCCUACCUGCCUUCCCCCCAGCUGUUGUCCCGGUGUCUGCUUGGCCCAAGAGUGACUCCAAGAGCAACUCCUGGCAGACAUGAGUUGAAGACGCCACUGGAAGCCCACAGUCAAAGACGCCAGAUAGAAGCCCCUGCUUCGGCCACUUUAUUAGGACUUGGGGUUCUUUAAAUAGGACCUAGUUUGGGUAAAGGAGUGAUUAGGUGGCAGGACUGUAGAACAGGGUGGGUGGGUUAGUGA